AGCAGCCGCGGUAAUUCCAGCUCCAAUAGCGUAUAUUAAAGUUGUUGCAGUUAAAAAGCUCGUAGUUGAAUUUCGGGAUUGACGUGAUGGUCGUGCCUUAAGGGGUAUGAACUGUCGCAGUUGAUUUCUCACCUUCUGGAGAAGCAUGAUGUCCUUAAUUGGGUGUCAUGUGGUACCAGGACCUUUACCUUGAAAAAUUAGAGUGUUUAAAGCAGGCAUUUUGCUCGAAUACAUUAGCAUGGAAUAAUAGAAUAGGACGGCAUGGUUCUAUUUUGUUGGUUUCUAGGAUCACCGUAAUGAUUAAUAGGGAUAGUUGGGGACAUUAGUAUUCAAUUGUCAGAGGUGAAAUUCUUGGAUUUAUUGAAGACUAACUACUGCGAAAGCAUUUGCCAAGGAUGUUUUCAUUAAUCAAGAACGAAAGUUAGGGGGUCGAAGACGAUCAGAUACCGU
rnacentral:rRNA from 1 species